CCCUCCUCAGCAAAAAGCGGUCGCCUGAUGAUCGCCUGACUGUCUUUGACAGCCUAGCUGAGGAGGUUUGU
rnacentral:ncRNA from 1 species